GACGAACGCUGGCGGCGUGCUUAACACAUGCAAGUCGAACGGAAAGGCCCUGCUUUUGUGGGGUGCUCGAGUGGCGAACGGGUGAGUAACACGUGAGUAACCUGCCCUUGACUUUGGGAUAACUUCAGGAAACUGGGGCUAAUACCGGAUAGGAGCUCCUGCUGCAGGGUGGGGGUUGGAAAGUUUCGGCGGUUGGGGCUGGACUCGCGGCUUAUCAGCUUGUUGGUGGGGGAGUGGCUUACCAAGGCUUUGACGGGUAGCCGGCCUGAGAGGGUGACCGGCCACAUUGGGACUGAGAUACGGCCCAGACUCCUACGGUAGGCAGCAGUGGGGAAUAUUGCACAAUGGGCGGAAGCCUGAUGCAGCAACGCCGCGUGCGGGAUGACGGCCUUCGGGUUGUAAACCGCUUUCGCCUGUGACGAAGCGUGAGUGACGGUAAUGGGUAAAGAAGCACCGGCUAACUACGUG
rnacentral:rRNA from 1 species